rnacentral:rRNA from 1 species
GGGCCCGCACAAGCGGUGGAGCAUGUGGUUUAAUUCGAUGAUACGCGAGGAACCUUACCAGGGCUUAAAUGUAAGUUGCAUAGAUCAGAGAUGGUCUUUUCUUCGGACUACUUACAAGGUGCUGCAUGGUUGUCGUCAGCUCGUGCCGUGAGGUGUCAGGUUAAGUCCUAUAACGAGCGCAACCCCUGUCGUUAGUUACCAGCAAGUAAUGUUGGGUACUCUAGCGAGACUGCCGGUCAAACCGUGAGGAAGGUGGGGAUGACGUCAAAUCAUCACGGCCCUUACGUCCUGGCCACACACGUGCUACAUUGGGUAGAACAAUAAGUUGCUAAGUUCGCGAAAGCAAGCG